rnacentral:rRNA from 1 species
CUACCCUUGACAUGGCAGGAAUCCCGAAGAGAUUUGGGAGUGCUCGCAAGAGAACCUGCACACAGGUGCUGCAUGGCUGUCGUCAGCUCGUGUCGUGAGAUGUUGGGUUAAGUCCCGCAACGAGCGCAACCCUUGUCAUUAGUUGCUACGAAAGGGCACUCUAAUGAGACUGCCGGUGACAAACCGGAGGAAGGUGGGGAUGACGUCAAGUUCUCAUGGCCCUUAUGGGUAGGGCUUCACACGUCAUACAAUGGUACAUACAGAGGGCCGCCAACCCGCGAGGGGGAGCUAAUCCCAGAAAGUGUAUCGUAGUCCGGAUUGUAGUCUGCAACUCGACUACAUGAAGUUGGAAUCGCUAGUAAUCGCGGAUCAGCAUGUCGCGGUGAAUA